GGAAUUUUAGGGCAAAAGCAAGGGUUAUUCUGGUAUCUUGUCUGAAAGUACGAUGGGACCAGGCUAUGCCUGUGAAGAACCUACACUUCCAAAAGUCUUAAUACUACAACUAAAAGAGAUGACUGACAAGGGAAUCUCCAUUACUGUUGUAAUGUAGCCUUUUUUAUAUUUUGGAAAAUAGGAGAAAAUUUCCAAUAUUUUGCUGUUUAAAAACAAAGAGAUGGACAAGAUUUUUAGACCCUUUCUGAAGACGUUGUUCAGAAAGUUAAAAGACAAGAAUUUUCCAUACCAUCGUCUCCAUCAUCAAUACUUUU
rnacentral:lncRNA from 1 species